CACACGCGGCAUUGCUGGAUCAGGCUUGCGCCCAUUGUCCAAAAUUCCCCACUGCUGCCUCCCGUAGGAGUCUGGGCCGUGUCUCAGUCCCAGUGUGGCUGGUCGUCCUCUCAGACCAGCUACGGAUCGUCGCCUUGGUGAGCCUUUACCCCACCAACUAGCUAAUCCGCCAUCGGCCACCCCAAUAGCGCGAGGUCUUGCGAUCCCCCGCUUUCAUCCUAAGAUCGUAUGCGGUAUUAAUCCGGCUUUCGCCG
rnacentral:rRNA from 1 species